CAGUCGCCGCGGUAAUACGAAGGGUGCAAGCGUUAAUCGGAAUUACUGGGCGUAAAGCGUGCGUAGGCGGUUUGUUAAGUCUGUUGUGAAAUCCCCGGGCUCAACCUGGGAAUGGCAAUGGAUACUGGCAAGCUAGAGUGUGUCAGAGGAUGGUGGAAUUCCCGGUGUAGCGGUGAAAUGCGUAGAGAUCGGGAGGAACAUCAGUGGCGAAGGCGGCCAUCUGGGACAACACUGACGCUGAGGCACGAAAGCGUGGGGAGCAAACAGGAUUAGAUACCCCCGUAGUCCUGUCUCUUAUACA
rnacentral:rRNA from 1 species